GGAGGGCAACACUCUGAGGAGGCAGAUCCACUCCUGGGAGAGACCAUAGAGGCCGGAAGACAACAGGACAACACAUGCAAAUCCUGAAGAACAUCGUCCACAUUGCCUUCGUUAAGAAAAAAGUAUCCUUCAGGAAGUAGAAAGCAGGUCAUUCCCAGAUAAAAGUUGAAGCUACUUUGUAUGCUGAGAAGAUCCGUUCUAAAAUACCAUCUUCACUUUGCAAAUGAGCCAACUAGGAAAAUGAGUAGAAGGAAGAAGCAAUCUGCAAACUCCAAAAAGGUAAA
rnacentral:lncRNA from 1 species